AUUUUAUCCAAGUGAUCUGCUCUUCCUCUCUAAUUUCUUUGCAUUUACAUUAUGAAAAGGAGACCUAAAUUCAUUUAAUAUGGUGUUAGCAUGACUGAUAUGCUUCCAUUACUCAGAGUUCUCAUUAUUUAUCUCAAAAUUCAGGAAUUUCUCUUGUUCCCUGCUUUUACUGUUUACUUUUCUGCUAGUGCAACAUUCCCCACUAUUGGAAGGCUUCAUCUUCAAAGCAAAGGACAUGGUACAAAAAAUGGAAAAUUAACCAAAAAUAAAGAGGAAACAACCAAAGCAACCAAAAUAACAAAAUUGUUGGAGCUACUGUCCUUAAAAUUCUAUAUGGAAUUCAAGGAAUGGUCCUUCACUUGUGUACAGAGGAUAACAGGGGCUUCACUGAUACAUUCUUUAGUGAACCAAGAGAUUUUCAUACUACCUCAGGUGAACAAACCUUCAAAAAUCUACAUAUAUAAUACUAUUUUCUGUGUCCCCUUAUUAAGAAGGCUAAGUGCUAAGUGACUUGUGAAAGAU
rnacentral:lncRNA from 1 species